rnacentral:rRNA from 1 species
ACAUGCCUACAACAUAGCAUUAAUGUAGCAAACCCCAUUAGAACUCUGCAAUUUAGCAUGCUCAACCUAGAGUAGUACUAGGAUGGGUGACUACCCAAGAAUUCCUAGUGUUUUACAUGCC